ACAUUCUCUCCGGAUGCCGAGGAUGGGGUUCGUCAUGCCCCGAACCCUCCUCCUGCUGCUGUCGGAGGCCCUGGCCGUGACCCAGACCUGGGCGGGCUCCCACUCCCUGAGGUAUUUCUACACCGCGGUGUCCCGGCCCGGCCUCGGGGAGUCCCGCUUCAUCGCCGUGGGCUACGUGGACGACACGCAGUUCGUGCGGUUCGACAGCGACGCCCCGAAUCCGAGGAUGGAGCCGCGGGCCCCGUGGGUGGAGCAGGAGGGGCCGGAGUAUUGGGACCAGGAGACGCGGAACAUGAAGAACAGCGCACAGGUUUUCCGAGUGGACCUGAACACGAUGCUCCGCUACUACAACCAGAGCGAGUCCGGGUCGCACAACAUCCAGUGGACGUUUGGCUGUGACGUCGGACCCGACGGCCGCCUCCUCCGCGGGUACAGUCAGGAGUCCUAUGACGGCAAGGAUUACAUCGCCCUGAACGAGGACCUGGGCUCCUGGACCGCGGCGGACACCGCGGCGCAGAUCACCCGCCGCAAGUGGGAGGAGACCGGUGCAGCGAAGGACUGGAAGAACUACCUGGAGGGCACGUGCGUGGAGUGGCUCGCCAAAUACCUGGACAUGGGGAAGGAGACGCUGCUGCGCGCAGUAUCUCCCAAAACACACGUGACCCGCCACCAGAUCUCUGACCGUGAGGUGACCCUGAGGUGCUGGGCCCUGGGCUUCUACCCUGCGGAGAUCACCCUGACCUGGCAGCGUGAUGGGCAGGACCACACCCAGGACGCAGAGCUUGUGGAGACCAGGCCUGCGGGAGAUGGGACCUUCCAGAAGUGGGCGGCUGUGGUGGUGUCUUCUGGAGAGGAGCAGAGAUACACGUGCCAUGUGCAGCACGAGCGACUGCCCGAGCCCAUCACCCUGAGAUGGGAGCCAUCCUCUCUGCCCUCCAUCACCAUUCUGGGCAUCAUUGCUGGUGUGGUUGUCCUUGUGGUCACUUUGGUGGUUGGAGCUGUGAUCUGGAGGAAGAAGUUUUCAGGAGGAAAAGGACCAAGCUAUUCUCAUGCUGCACGCGAUGACAGUACUCAGGGCUCUGAUUCGUCUCUAAUGGCUCCUAAAGUGUGAGACCUGCUGCCCCUCAGGGACUGAGCGAUACAGGAUCUGUUCACACUCCACUUGGUGCCAUCGAGAUCCCCUGACUUCCUGCAGAUGGUGUCAGAAUGUGUCUGCCUUCCUAUUAGCAUAUUGUGAGGACACAGGAGACUGGCCCCCCCUGCCCACCAUGACCCCUCCCCGUACUGAUUCCUGUUCACUUUCUGACCUGCUUUCCUGUUCCAGCAGAGUCAGUGCUGGACCGUCUCCGUCCCCGUCUUUUUUUCAUGUUGGGCCGAGUACUGACGCCUUACUUCCCCACUGAAAAUGAGAAUCCAGAUAUGAAUUUGUGUUUUGUAAUUCUUGGCAUGUGGGGAUGAUGAGGUAAUAAAAGAGAAGGUUUGUAAAAUUGCAAGAGAAAAUAAAUGAAAGCCCUGAGAACCUCCCAGAACCCGCUGUUUCCUGUGCCGUGUCUGUUGCAGGUGGGGACAGGAGAGGGCUGGAGGAGCCGAGCGUGGACGGGGCCUGGGUCCAGUCGGUGCUCAGUGCGUCCUUGGUGUGUCGUGCUCCCUCCUCAGCUGGGUCAUUGUCUCUGCUCAUUGUCCUUGUCCCUUCUGUGGAACCUUGUCUCACCAGGACCGUGACCACAGGGACGUGGACGUCACCUGUCACCAGGACCUUGUACAGCAAGAGCUUCCUGUGACUGGGUCAGCCCAGGCUCCAUCCUGGGUUGUGACCUCAGGCCCAUCUUUUGGGUGUUUUUUUUCCCCUUGUUUCUAUGGAGCAUCAGGCCUGUUCUUGCUCGUGUGUCCGAGUUCCUGUCUCCUUCUCUCCAGAUGACCCCGGUGGUUACAGCACCAGGAGUCCUUUGGGCUGUCGUUCUGCAGGCCUAGGUGGGCCCUGCACACAGGAGUCUCUGGGAUUUGGAGAGAUGAAUUUUCAGAUUCAUCCAUCUCCUCCCUCUAGAGUUGUUGUCUGGAAUAUUCUUUACAUCCUGAGGUAGACAGAGAGGAAUCUGGGAGUUUCUCAUCCUUGUUCAACUUCAGUUAGUUUCUACCUUCCCUGACUCUCUGCCCCCUCUUCCUGUCCUUAGUUCUAAUGAUACUGGUGCUGGUUCCCAUCCACGUUCAUGGGUUUAUAAAGCAGGGUCUAAUGUAGAUUUCUAUUUGGUUGGAGAAAGAGCCCCAUAGAACCUAAAUACAGUGAUUCUGAAGACAGGAAUGUAACUGUGUGCUGUGCUGUUUAGGGGAUACACUGUGGGAGGGGGGAGCUGAGCAGAGAGAGGGAGGGGCAGCCCUGGGGUAAGUAGAGGCAGCACUAAUGGUGAGGUGGGGGCACUUUGUGCGGGAGCUGCCACGGACGGGCUGUGCUGAGGCUCAUCCAGAAGACACAAGUCCUCUCCGCUGACCAAUCGUUCCACUGAUAAUGUCGUGUGCCACGUACAGGACCUGCUAUUUUUUUCAUCUAGAACACCUCAGUAAGUAAGCAAAGGCAAAUGUGCUGGUCUUGUGGAGACUAUGUCCUAGGGGUGAGGGACAGACUCCACUUGACCCUGGAACAAUGUGGGGACUGAGGGCAAUGACCCCACUGAGCAGUCAGAAAUCCAAGUAUAACUUUUGACUCCCCUGAAACUUAAAUAUUACCACUAAUAACGUAGUGUUGAUAAGAAGCCUUACUGAAAACAUGAACAGUCAUUUAACACAUAUAUUGUACAUUAUAUGUAUAUGUAACAUGUAUUCUUACAAUAAAUUAGGCUGGGGAAAAUAGUAAGAAAGCAUAAGAGAAAGUGCAUUGACAGCACUUGUUGUAAAAAGGUCCACAUAUCGGUGGAUGUGCACAGUUCGCACCAGUAUAAUUCAGAGUCAACUGUAUAUUGUAUAAAUGUGGUAAAUAAGGGAAUGUUUAAAUUGGAAAUUGGUAGGUGCUUUGAGGAAGGUGACCCAGAGAGUUACCUGUGCGGGGACAGGGAAGGUGGCUACUUUACUAUGGUAGUAAGUGUGAGCCUCACUGGGAAGCUGACCUCUGAGAGAUGGGUGAGACACAAGGAGUUGUUGAAGAGCAUGUCUCAAGGAAUUCUUUCCAGGCCGGGGAACCUCCAGGCACAUGCACUAGGGCAGGAGCAUGUCCUUGUUCAAGGAAGGGUGAGAGACCACUGGUUGGAGCUGAGAGCAUGGGAAAUGCACUCAGAUAUCUAGGUUUUAGGAUCAGAAGACUUUUAAAUUUUCUCUGAGUGACAUGUGUAGUCACCAGAUGAUUUAGAUCAGAUGGUCCACGUGGUAGUACUUCUCUCAGCAGCAUCUGUUUGCUGCUAUGCAGAAUCGACAGGUGAAGGGCAGGAGACCCGUAGGGAGACUGUAGGAAGCCAGUGCAGUUUCCAGGAGGGGGGAUGUUGGAUUUAUUUUGGGGUUUGAAGAGAGAAAUAACAGGAAGUUGCUGUACUCUGGUUAUUGUGUGUGUGUGCAUGUGUGUGUGUGUGUGUGUGUGUGGGUAUGUGUGUGUUCUGGAUACAUUUAAAGAUGAACUUAGCAGCAUGUCCUAAUGUAUUAUUUCUGUGUUGUGAGAAGGAGGAAUCAAGGACAGCAUCCAAUACUUCAGACUGCAAGAAGAAAGGGGGGUUUUCUUCCAAAGAGACAGGGAAGAUUUUGGAAGUAGGACAUUUGGGGAAGCUUCAUCACAGGCACUCAAUUUAGGAAUGUCGAAUCUGAGAUUAUUAGAAAUGCAAGCGAAGUUCCAGCUGGAGAUAGAGUGCAGGGUGGGAGAAAUAUCUAGGUUGAAGAAAUAGAUGUGGGAGAUGACACCAUAUAAAUGAUGUUUAGAGCCUUCAGCAUAGAUGAGGUCACCAAGGGGAUGAUGGCCAUAGAAGAGAGAGGAUCAGGACCAAACCCUGGAGUCGUCAGCACGAAGCAAGCUGAUCAGAGCACACCCAGAGCACACUGCACAGUUCUGGUUCUGCACCUAGAAGGCACACACUCCGGGGAGACCUAGCUUUCAGUGUGCACAGAAAUUUCCUGGUCUUAUGAAGAGCUAGGCAAUCUGGAGUAGAGUGUGAGAUUCUGGGUUUAUAGCAAGGUUGGUGCUCCUUCUGGUCUUCAGAUCACACACUGAGCAGCAAGCACAUAAUGAAGGAUUCCCACGUGGCUGUGCCUCAGCCUCUCCUGUGGGGCUUAUUAAGUAGUGAUUCCUGGGUCCACGCCCAACACUCUAACAGGGUAUGUGGAGAGAGGCCUGAGUGUUUUGUAACGAACCCAUGAGCAAUCCUGGGGUUCCACCAGAUAGAGUUGCAGUGAAGUCACUGAUGAGAGCCCUCAUUGUGGGAAGGGGUCUUACAUCCACAUUUACAUGUUGUUGUUUUUUCUAGGAAGAAAAAUGCAAGACCUGCUGGGAGAUACAUAUUUUCUCUCCCAGGGGGCAGAGCCAGGUGGCAGAUUGAGGAAGUGGUUAUCAGCUCAACAUAAAAUCUCUGAGAUAACAAGAGUGUAGAUCUUAAAUGCUUGCACCACACAAAAGGAAAUGGUAACUAUGUGACAAGGUGCAGGUCUAGGCUAAUGCUCUGGUUGUAAGCAUUUUGCAGCAUAGAAAUGUAUCAAAUCAAGAGACUGUACCCUUAAACUGACACAAUGGUGUAUGUCAGUUAUAUCUCUGUAAAACUGGAAAAAACGUCUGAAAUCAUGCUCUCUGAAGCUAUUUAUUGCCUGCAUCGACUUCUGCCUCUUUGUGAUACAUGUGCACAGUUACAGAGACUGGGAUGAGAGAAUGUGGGGCCUUGUUCUAUUUCAAGGAAAGUCACAAACCAGGCUUGAGGCUACACAGACGGGAACAGAAUCCACAA